UGUAAACCUUUAGAAUAUAAAUUAGGAAAACAGUGGGGCAUUCAUAAAUUUUUAUAUAUGCCCAACUCCCCAAAGGCACUUUUGGGAAGGGACUUGUUGGAACAAUUGGGAGCAAAAAUUGUAUUCGAAAAGGGAGAAAUUACUCUGGAGGUAAAAGAUCAGCAAUAUAUUCAAAUAUUGAGCCUAACCUUAACCAGUCUCCCCCUAGAAGGAAACAUUAACGAGGACAUCUUAAACCAAGUGUACCCAGGGGUAUGGGCUACCGAUGCACCUGGAAGAGCGAAAAGUGCUCCACCUGUUGAAGUUAGGAUCAAGGAAGGCCGAAAGCCAGUAAGAAUUAAACAAUAUCCCCUAAAGAAGGAAGACAGAGAAGGAAUCUGGCCGGUGAUAGAAAAAUUUUUGCAGUUGGGAUUAUUAAAAGAGUGUGAGUCUGAAUUCAAUACCCCUAUAUUACCUGUUCGGAGGCCCGAUGGGUCAUAUCGGGUGGUCCAAGACUUACGGGCGGUGAAUAAGAUAACUGAAGAUCUUUACCCGGUAGUGGCGAACCCAUAUACCCUGUUGACCGUAUUAACACCUGAAUUGACUUGGUUUACUGUUUUAGAUUUGAAGGAUGCUCUCUUUUGCCUCCCUCUCCAUGAAGCCAGCCAAAAAUUAUUUGCAUUUGAAUGGGAAAACCCCAAGAGUGGUCGAAAGACCCAGCUCACUUGGACGGUGUUGCCACAAGGAUUUAAGAAUAGUCCUACCAUUUUUGGCAAUCAGCUUGCAAAAGACUUAGAAUCCUGGGAAGCCCCGUCUGAGGAAGGGAAAGCUGUUGCAGUAUGUGGAUGAUAUCCUGAUCGCCACCAAGACAGAGAAAGAUUGUAUGACAUGGACGCCACUGAGCAGAAACACCUUGAGUGGAACAAGGAGACCGAACGAGCCUUUGAGCUACUGAAAAAGGCUUUGAUGUCGGCCCCGGCCUUAGGACUCCCAGAUGAACACAGGAGAACCGGUACAUCAUGACUGUUUGGAAACCACCGAAGCA